rnacentral:lncRNA from 1 species
GAGAAAAUAUUUAUAACUUGCCGAUAAAUCUAAAAAAAAGUUACAUUACUUUGCGAACGUGAUCCACAACAAAUCCAAUUAAUUUCACAAAUCCCUCGCAGAACCUAAUAUCCAAAAAUUACAUUCUUCUUUUAAAAUUCAUCACAAUAUAUGUAUACAAAAGCUUAAAUUUUAAUAUCCUCCUAUGGCUGAUCCUGCAGAAGUGCCUAGCACCCCGAGUUCGGAUUUAUACUCGUAAACCAUCCCCUCUCUUUACUUAUUUAUUUAUUUUCUUUUUCCUUCUUUUCUUUUUCUUUUCUUCUUUUCUUUUUCUUUUCCCUUCUUCUCCUGACUCCUCUCUUCUUGUUUGGUGAAAUAGGGGGCCCGUGUCCCCCCCUUCUUCCCUCUCGGUCGGAUUCAGGGGCGACCGUGGUGGCCGGCCCCGAUGGCGACAGGAGGCGGCAGAGCAAGCCUGACCACCCCCGACGGCUGGCGGCGGC